ACUCUAGAUUUGGAGUUAAAUAAUAACUCCGUUUUUGGAGUCAAAAUAACUCACUUUUUGGAGUUAAAAGUAACUCUAGAUUUGGAGUAAAAUAAUAACUCCGUUUUUGGAGUCAAAAUAACUAUCAUGUAUAGGAGUUAAAAUGUAACACCUAAAAAGGAGUUAAAGAGUUGUAACUCCACUUUUGGAGUUAUAAAUCAUACAUCUAAAAAUAUCUAAAAAUACCUUCACUUUGUCCACUUUGAAAUGUCAACAUUUACACGCCAUCUUGGAUAAUGAUAUUCGUUGCAUAGCAACAAGGCAAAUGACAUUCAAUUCAAUCCACACUUAUUCCCCAGUACUCAUAUAUGGUAACAAAAAGGCCACUCAAUUGUUUUAAAAAUACUGACUCUGAGGGAUUUACUUCAAGAAACGUGGAUUCAACAAAUACUGAUAAAAUUUCUACAGGAUGCUGGCGAUUCCUGGAAACGCCUUCACCUUGCUUUGAGCCAGACUAAUGAUUUUUGGUUUCACAUUGUUCCUGAAAAUGUGGCUCAUUUUCCGACAUUUUCCAAUGGAGCUUGUUGCCCUCUCAAACUCUGCCUUUAGCUACAAAUGUAUAUAUAGAAUAAUACCUGUGAAUUACUGUAACAUUGAAAAAAGUUUUUUCACACAGGCUUCAGAUCCCGCAAUAGAAUAAAAUAAAGUUGGAUUGUUGUUGGAUUUAUUGUGUAUGGAGAUAACAGGAAUUACUAUAUACCUCAGAAACCAGCCUCAAUGCUGGAUACUCUGCCAGAAGAUCUUUCAACGUAGUGGGACUGGACACGACUUUGUUCCGUCGAAUUAUACCAAAAUCAAAGCAUUGCAUGAAGAAGUUAAGAAACCGGCUCAUGAUAAACUCAAAUUUUAGGUGUUUUACAAUACACAAGGCCGAAGCUGACCAACACAGUAUUUGGAUUCUUUUGCAACUGAUAGGAUGAAAUCCAUCUAUCAUUAUAUUGGAUCGUAUCUCCAGUCUUCUGGAAAGCUGGCCGCGGUACGAUGCCAUCUG